UGGUUCAAGGUCCUCUAUCCCCA
rnacentral:tRNA from 1 species